rnacentral:tRNA from 1 species
UGAGUCGUAGACUAAUUGGCAAGUCACCUAGGUUUGAGCUAGGAGUAUAUAUGUUCAAAUCAUAUCGACUCAG